ensembl:snRNA U6 U6 spliceosomal RNA
GUGCUUGCUUCGGCAGCACAUAUAUUAAAAUUGGAAUGAUACAAAGAAGAUUAGCAUGG